ensembl:lncRNA
CUGGAUGAUGUUGAGAGAUAGAUGGGAGGGGUUGAGUGGAGCUGAAGGGUGGGACUGGAUGAUGUUGAGAGACAGAUGGGAGAGGUUGAGUGGAGCUGAAGAGUGGGACUGGAUGAUGUUAAGAGACAGAUGGGAGGGGUUGAGUGGAGCUGAAGGGUGGGACUGGAUGAUGUUGAGAGACAGAUGGGAGAGGUUGAGUGGAGCUGAAGGGUGGGACUGGAUGAUGUUGAGAGACAGAUGGGAGAGGUUGAGUGGAGCUGAAGAGUGGGACUGGAUGAUGUUAAGAGACAGAUGGGAGGGGUUGAGUGGAGCUGAAGGGUGGGACUGGAUGAUGUUAAGAGAUCGAUGGGAGAGGUUGAAUGGAGCUGAAGGGACUAAUAACAAGAUAAAACAUGUAGAACAUACGGGGUCUGUAAAAUGUAUAUAGAUUCAGAACGUUUGUGAAAUAGCACAGUUACAAAUAGAAAUCAAAUUGGAUGGACAUCAGAUAUAGAGGAAGGACUAAAAACAAACAAAAUAUAACUAUUGUAAAAUAGACUGUGUCUGUAAAAUGUGUAUUAAGAUGUGGAAAUUGAAGGUAAAAGCCGAAGUGUUUAUUAGUUUACUCCAAUUGGGGGAUCGGCGGAAGGGUUUGCGGGGAAUAAUAAUAAAGGUAUAUUCUUUAAAAAAGUAUGUAUGUCUAUAUAGGUAUGUGUAUAUGUAUGUCUAUAUAGGUAAGUGUAUGUAUAUAUGUGUGUAUGCAUGUCUAUAUAGGUAUGUGUAUGUAUAUAUGUGUAUAUGUAUGCAUGUGUGUAUGGAUAUGGAUAUACAUAUCUACCCCAAAAAUAUAUGGGGGAUUGGAAAUGAUGCAGACAAUUACAUUGAUGGAACCAAUAUUCUUUCCGCAAUAUUUAGCUGAUCCACCCCUCUAAAAAAAAAAAAAAAGAUGAUAUCUAAACAAUUGUUUACACUACCAAGAGUAUGGACUUGAUUGAGCGAUCAGGUUAAAGGCCAAGAUAAUUUCACCUGUCAAUCAAACCGUAGAGGCAGACACUAAAGUGGUAUGGGGAAGAUCGGAUGGUAAAGGGAUUUUUUUAAGUGGAACCCGGGUGGUAGUGGGAGUUCCUAUGUCAUGGAGUCAAGCUGCAGAAAAAGGGCAAGGCUUUGGCAAGGUCAGAGUUGGGUGAGCUUGUGGCUAAUCCCCCUGUCAAACAGAACCCCAAGGGAUUAUGGGCUGUGGUACUCCUCCUCUUGCCACCCCUGAACAACACUGUCUCUGACUCACAAAGGAGGAGAAGCAGCCCCAGCUCUCCGUCUCUCUCACCCUCUCUUUUGUCUGGGUUGAAAAAUGGCCGUCGGUGGCCGCACUGUUGUCCCGUCAAACACGGCAGUCAGUCCCUUUUAGACAAAACUCAAAUAAAGAAAGAGGGGAAGAAAUAUUGGGAUUAGGCGGUAAACAGUUCCCACCCAGCUUUCUUUAGUUCACUUUCAGUAGCAAUGUGUGCUCAGUGGACUCUGAGAACUACACUGGCUUUAUUCAUUCUUAUUGACUUUAACACAUUUUAUGUCGGGAACUGUGUGUAUGUGUGCUGCUGUACAGGCUACUGUAUAAAAGAGCUGGAUUUUUGUUUUUGAAGGAAGGGCAGCUCCAUUGACAAUCAGUGUUUCUCGGAAGAGUUUUGUUAAUCAAAC